CAUAAGCUGCAUUGUACGUAUAACAUUAAGUUUUAACCUUUAUGCUGUAAAAGGGAGUUUUAUAUAAGAACAGGAAUGGCAAGCCCUAUCCUUUACUGAUAGGGACAGACAGGAAUGUUUUUGCGAACACCCACUUUGAGGAGUGGUGGUUUAAAACUUUCUAUGAUAAAUACGGCAAAGGCGGCUUUACU
rnacentral:other from 1 species